rnacentral:misc_RNA from 1 species
UCCUGAAUUUCUCAGGCGAUCUCAAUACCGCUAAUAACAAAAUCAGCAAACAUAUGAAAAGGAUUGCGCUCGUUACUGGACUUAACCUGACAUUUCACAACACGAGCUGACGACAGCCAUGCAACACCUGAAUCGGAAAUUCUAAUCCAUAAAACAUAAUGAACUAGAAAAUGGCAGCGUUCUGCACUAAUUCCAAACCUAGAAUUGGUAAGGUUCAGCGCGUUAUGUCGCAUUAAACCACAUGCUCCACCGCGUGUUCGAACCUCCGUCAAUUUCUUUGAGUUUCAAUCUUGCGAUCGUACUCCCCAGGCGGAGUGCUUAACGCGUUAGCUUAAACACCAAAGAAACUUCACUACGAAAUAACCCCAGCAUUUAGCACCCAUCGGUCACUGCAUGGACU